CCUACGGGCGGCAGCAGUGGGGAAUAUUGCACAAUGGGGGAAACCCUGAUGCAGCGACGCCGCGUGAAGGAAGAAGUAUUUCGGUAUGUAAACUUCUAUCAGCAGGGAAGAAAGUGACGGUACCUGACUAAGAAGCCCCGGCUAACUACGUGCCAGCAGCCGCGGUAAUACGUAGGGGGCAAGCGUUAUCCGGAUUUACUGGGUGUAAAGGGAGCGUAGGCGGCGAUGCAAGUCAGAAGUGAAAGCCCGGGGCUCAACUCCGGGACUGCUUUUGAAACUGUAUGGCUAGAUUGCAGGAGAGGCAAGUGGAAUGCCUGGUGUAGCGGUGAAAUGCGUAGAUAUUAGGAGGAACACCAGUGGCGAAGGCGGCUUACUGGACGGUAACUGACGCUGAGGCUCGAAAGCGUGGGGAGCAAACAGGAUUAGAUACCCGAGUAGUC
rnacentral:rRNA from 1 species